rnacentral:rRNA from 1 species
UACAUGAGUGGUAAGCGUUAUCCGUAGUUAUUGAGUGUAAAAGAUGCGCAGAUGUAAAGUGUAAUUUUAAUGAACUAAGUUGGAAAACCAGACUUCUUUAAAAUUAAAGCUUUGUAGAAUAAAGAUAAACUAUACACUUUUUACAUAUUAGCGAUGAAAUGCAGUGAGUAUGUAAGGAUUACCAAGAAUGAAAAUAGUAUUGUUAUCUUUAUCGACGUUGAGGCAUGAAAGCAGAAUUAUCGACAAGGAUUAGCGACCCUUUUAGUUUUUGCUGUAAAAGAUGAAUAUUAGGCUACUUGAUUUGAAGAUUGGGUGGUCUUAGUAAACGCGUUAAAUAUUCUACUUGGGUAGUACAAUUGCAAAAUUGAAACUUAACAGAAUUGGCGGGAAUUUGUAUAACAGUGGAAUAUGUGGUUUAAUGCGAUAAUCCCCGCAAAACCUUACUAACAUUUUAAAUUAUUGAAUUUCAAAAGGUGUAAUGAUCUAUUUUGAUAAUAUAAUUUUCUAGGUCCUGCAUGGCUGUCGUCAUUCGUGUUGUGAAAUGUAUAAUUUAGUUUUUAAACGAAUGUAACCCAAAGUUAUAGUUUAAUUUUAUAUUUUUAUGUGUAAAUAUAAAAUUUUUUAUAACAUGCACUUUACCGCGUAUUUAUAAUAUACUGGUAAGUUUUAGUUUGGAAGUUGGCUGACGGCAAGUCUUUAUGGGCCUCAUAUGUUAGGCUACACACGUAUUACAAAGAUAAAAACAAGAAGUAGUUAGGUGUAAACUUUAACAAAUCUUUAAAAAUUAUCGAGGUUCGGAUUAUUUUCUGUAAGUCGAAAGUAUGAAGGCGAAAUUGUUAGUAAUCAUAAAAUAGUAUGUUAUGGUGAAUAUAGUUACAAAUUUUGCACACACCGCCCAUCACGCCC